GGAACCGCGAAUUAUAUCGUUUCAAAAGCCAACCAGGGCCUGAUGGGUUUUUUUGAUGGAGUCUUUUUGGCCAAUGAUGCUGAGGUGUCCUCCUUUGUUGAUUACAUCCAUGGAACAACUGGACAUAAUCCAGGGAAAGGGAGAUGUGGUGCGGGUCAGUGGACUGCAGCACGAGAGUCUGCCAACAAGUCUGGAAGCAAACUAGACGAGGAAGGUGUUGAAGUUGCUGUCUGCCGUCAUGGGGUUUUGCUGAAGGGACUGAAUAUGUUCCGUGGAGAAAUAUUUGCAUACCCAUUAUAUCUCCAGAAACAGCUAGCUUCACAGACCGUCCAGUUUUUUUUGCUCUGAUGUGGUCUGCAAAUAUUGGCCAUAUCUGCAGAAAGUUGUGGACCACUGUCCAGAGUUGGAGGACUUGCUGAACAUGCGCCCAUUUCUCUCCAUCAUGCAUGCAAAAGCGCAUUCAUGGAUGUGUGAGUUAAAAUGGGGGGGGCGCAAUCAAGAAGGAGCUGGAACAACAAUCGGGGAGGAGGUUGAACAGGUUAACAGCUUCCUCUCUCGAGCAGCCAUAUGUUCCAAAGUACAUGUC